UUCUCUCUGGUUUUCAUACAGGUACAGUAUUUGCAUAUGGAGUAACAAGCAGUGGGAAGACUCAUACAAUGCAUGGUGAUCAAAGAUCUCCUGGAAUCAUACCUCUUGCUGUGAAGGAUGCUUUUAGCAUUAUCCAAGAGACUCCAAACCGAGAGUUUCUCCUUCGAGUUUCGUACUUGGAAAUCUACAAUGAGGUA